rnacentral:rRNA from 1 species
CCUACGGGAGGCAGCAGUGAGGAAUAUUGCACAAUGGGGGAAACCCUGAUGCAGCGACGCCGCGUGAGGGAAGAAGUAAUUCGGUAUGUAAAGCUCUAUCAGCAAGGAGAAAAAUUACGGUACCUGAGUAUGAAGCCCCGUCUAACUACGUGCCAGCAGCAGCGGUAAUACGUAGGGAGCAAGCGUUAUCCGGAUUUAGUGGGUGUAAAGGGAGCGUAGACGGCAUUGGAAGUCUGUAGGGAAAGGCGUGGGGUCAACCCCCGGACUGCACUGGAAACUGUCGGGCUGGAGUGCAGGAGAGGUAAGCGGAAUUCGUAGUGGAGCGGUGAAAUGCGUAGAUAUUAGGAGGAACACCAGUGGCGAAGGCGGCUUACUGGACUGUAACUGACGUUGAGGCUCGAAAGCGUGGGGAGCAAACAGGAUUAGAUACCCUAGUAGUA